rnacentral:tRNA from 1 species
GGGACCAUAGCUCAGUUGGUAGAGCAACUGCCUUUUAAGCAGGAGGUCGAGAGUUCGAAACUCUCUGGUCCCACCA